rnacentral:autocatalytically_spliced_intron from 1 species
UUACAACGGUAAAGCAAUUUGCUACUUGGUCGAGAAAUCGAUCAUGACAAUUCGGCUAAUAACGGUGAAGCCCUCUUGAUUUUGGGUUUUAUUUGGUUCUAUAAUAAACUCAAUAGAAAAAAUCAAUGGGUAAUACCGUGGGAAGACGGUUGAUAGAAAUUAGAUGUUAGAGGUUGGAGGAUAGAUAAAGAAGUUAGAAAUUGGAGAUUGGAAAAUCCAACUUCUAUCUUCUAACAUCCUAUUCCAGCUUCUAAUUUCAAACAUCAAACUUCUAACAAUUUGUCCCUGUAACGACUUAUAUGGAAGGUACCGGAUAAUCCGGAGCAUAAACUUCCAUUACAUGCCGACUCCGUAACACUUAGGGUGACGGAGAAGAUAUAGUCUGAUCCUCAGCGAAAGCUGAGA